rnacentral:rRNA from 1 species
GUGACCUCAAAUCAGGUAGGACUACCCGCUGAACUUAAGCAUAUCAAUAAGCGGAGGAAAAGAAACUAACAAGGAUUCCCCUAGUAACUGCGAGUGAAGCGGGAAAAGCUCAAAUUUAAAAUCUGGCAGCCUUUGGUUGUCCGAGUUGUAAUCUAGAGAAGUGUUAUCCGCGCUGGACCGUGUACAAGUCUCCUGGAAUGGAGCGUCAUAGAGGUGAGAAUCCCGUCUUUGACACGGACUGCCAGGCUUUGUGAUGCGCUCUCAAAGAGUCGAGUUGUUUGGGAAUGCAGCUCAAAAUGGGUGGUAAAUCCAU